AGAGGCCCUCUGCGGCCGGGGUGAAAUGCUUGCCUCGUCGCCGCGGUGAUGAAGAAAGCAUUCCACCAGGCCGCUCAUACUGCCCGC
rfam:Myotis lucifugus cont2.63, whole genome shotgun sequence.